rnacentral:rRNA from 1 species
CCUACGGGUGGCUGCAGUGAGGAAUAUUGGUCAAUGGGCGGAAGCCUGAACCAGCCAAGUAGCGUGCAGGAUGACGGCCCUACGGGUUGUAAACUGCUUUUAUACGGGAAUAACGCGCCUUACGUGUAGGGCUUUGCAUGUACCGUAUGAAUCAGGACCGGCUAAUUCCGUGCCAGCAGCCGCGGUGAUACGGAAGGUACGGGCGUUAUCCGGAUUGAUUGGGGUUAAAGGGAGCGUAGGCCGCAUGUCAAGCGUGCUGUGAAAUGUCCGGGCUCAACCCGGGCCUUGCAGCGGGAACUGGCGUGCUUGAGUCCGCGGAAAGCAGGCGGAAUU